GAAGUUACGUUAUUUGACGACACACCAGCAAAUUGGAAAGGAGUGUCAUCUAAAACCAUAUAAAAAACACUAACAGGUUCACCCAAACUCUGCGGUGCCUUUUCGCCAAGGUUCCUAAUGCCUGCUGUAAUUGCGUAUCAACCAUUCGCAAGAGCUGUAUUUCACACUAAGGCUCAUACAAAUCUAACAGCAUAUGUCGAAUUGUUGCAUGGUAUUCGUAGGAUCCACGAUUUUUUAAUAAAUAACGUCAUUAACUGCA